rnacentral:lncRNA from 1 species
GGUGACCAUGGUGAGUUGGGAUGCAGAGGCAGGAGAAUUCCCCAGAGGUCAAGGGCCAGCUAUUCUGACAUUCGCAGGAGCAAGCAACAAGAAUCUCUCAAAACAAUAUGGAAGCCCUAAGAGUCACAGUUGGCUCACAGUGGACUCUGGCAUCCUGAGACGCUAUCUAGAGGAAAGAGGAAACUAUCUCGACCACACCAUUUCCAAAGGGCCAAAGUAGAAGAAAUGAGAAGACUUCAAGGAAGCUAGAGUUUACCAUUCAAGAGAAGCUGUUUCAGUGAUUAGAUGCCUCGCAGUACACAGAGGUAAUGAGUUUCCCAUCUCUGGGAAUAGGUAUGCAGGGCGCCAUGGGUCUUGUGCAGGU